rnacentral:rRNA from 1 species
CAGCAGCCGCGGUAAUACGUGGGGUGCGAGCGUUAAUCGGAAUUACUGGGCGUAAAGCGUGCGCAGGCGGUUAUAUAAGACAGUUGUGAAAUCCCCGGGCUCAACCUGGGAACUGCAUCUGUGACUGUAUAGCUAGAGUACGGUAGAGGGGGAUGGAAUUCCGCGUGUAGCAGUGAAAUGCGUAGAUAUGCGGAGGAACACCGAUGGCGAAGGCAAUCCCCUGGACCUGUACUGACGCUCAUGCACGAAAGCGUGGGGAGCAAACAGGAUUAGAUACCCGCGUAGUCCCUGUCUCUUAUAC